GGAGGGUACAGCUCAGUGGUAGAGUGCAUGCUUUGCAUGCAUGAGGUCCUGGGUUCCAUCCCCAGCACCUCCA
rnacentral:tRNA from 1 species